rnacentral:misc_RNA from 1 species
AAGUCGUAACAAGGUUUCCGUAGGUGAACCUGCGGAAGGAUCAUUAACACUAAUUAAAAAUACGAAGCUUUUUUUUGCAAAAAAAAAACUGCUUCUUAUCCAAACUUACCCAAAACUAUUUGAAAGUGCUGGUUGAUUUUAUUUGAUAUCGUUGUAUUUUUACAAUUAUAUCAAAGGAAUCACUUUUUCACUUAUUUUUUUUUUCAACAACCCCAAAUCUUUUUUUGCUAAUGCAAAUGACAAUUACUAAACAAAUAACUACUUUAACGUAACCAAACAACUCUUAGCAACGGAUAUCUUGGCUCUC